rnacentral:rRNA from 1 species
UUGCCUACGGGAGGCUGCAGUGGGGAAUUUUGGACAAUGGGCGCAAGCCUGAUCCAGCCAUGCCGCGUGCGGGAAGAAGGCCUUCGGGUUGUAAACCGCUUUUGUCAGGGAAGAAAUCCCUUGGGCUAAUACCCCGGGGGGAUGACGGUACCUGAAGAAUAAGCACCGGCUAACUACGUGCCAGCAGCCGCGGUAAUACGUAGGGUGCAAGCGUUAAUCGGAAUUACUGGGCGUAAAGCGUGCGCAGGCGGUCGUGCAAGACAGAUGUGAAAUCCCCGGGCUUAACCUGGGAACUGCAUUUGUGACUGCACGGCUGGAGUGCGGCAGAGGGGGAUGGAAUUCCGCGUGUAGCAGUGAAAUGCGUAGAUAUGCGGAGGAACACCGAUGGCGAAGGCAAUCCCCUGGGCCUGCACUGACGCUCAUGCACGAAAGCGUGGGGAGCAAACAGGAUUAGAUACCCGGGUAGUCCG